rfam:Astyanax mexicanus chromosome 21, whole genome shotgun sequence.
CGCUCCAUAGCUCAGUGACAGAGCGCUGGUCUUCGAAACCAGAGGUCGCGGAGUUCGAUCCUCGCUUGGAGUCG